CAAUAGCGUAUAUUUAAGUUGCUGCAGUUAAAAAGCUCGUAGUUGGAUUUCGGGUGGGAAUGGCCGGUCCGCCGUUUCGGUGUGCACUUGCUACGCCCACCUUGCUGCCGGGGACGUGCUCUUGAGUUCACGCUCGGGAUACGGAGUCGGCGAGGUUACUUUGAGUAAAUUAGAGUGUUCAAAGCAGGCCUACGCUCUGAAUACAUUAGCAUGGAAUAACACGAUAGGACUCUGGCCUAUCUUGUUGGUCUGUAGGACCGGAGUAAUGAUUAAGAGGGACAGUCGGGGGCAUUCGUAUUUCAUUGUCAGAGGUGAAAUUCUUGGAUUUAUGAAAGACGAACUACUGCGAAAGCAUUUGCCAAGGAUGUUUUCAUUAA
rnacentral:rRNA from 1 species